rnacentral:rRNA from 1 species
UACGAGAGGCCCAAACGUUAUUCGGAAUUACUGGGCGUAAAGGGCGCGUAGGCGGCCUGCUAAGUCGAACGUGAAAUCCCCGGGCUCAACCCGGGAACUGCGUCCGAUACUGGCAGGCUUGAAUUCGGGAGAGGGAUGCGGAAUUCCAGGUGUAGCGGUGAAAUGCGUAGAUAUCUGGAGGAACACCGGUGGCGAAGGCGGCAUCCUGGACCGAAGUUGACGCUGAGGCGCGAAAGCCAGGGGAGCAAACGGG